rnacentral:rRNA from 1 species
UACGAAGGGGGCUAGCGUUGUUCGGAAUCACUGGGCGUAAAGCGCCCGUAGGCGGCUUCUUAAGUCAGGGGUGAAAUCCUGGAGCUCAACUCCAGAACUGCCUUUGAUACUGGGAAUCUCGAGUCCGGGAGAGGUGAGUGGAACUGCGAGUGUAGAGGUGAAAUUCGUAGAUAUUCGCAAGAACACCAGUGGCGAAGGCGGCUCACUGGCCCGGUACUGACGCUGAGGUGCGAAAGCGUGGGGAGCAAACAGG